rnacentral:rRNA from 1 species
UACGGAGGAUGCGAGCGUUAUCCGGAUUUAUUGGGUUUAAAGGGUGCGUAGGCGGGAUGCCAAGUCAGCGGUAAAAGUGCGGUGCUCAACGCCGUCGAGCCGUUGAAACUGGCGUUCUUGAGUGGGCGAGAAGUAUGCGGAAUGCGUGGUGUAGCGGUGAAAUGCAUAGAUAUCACGCAGAACUCCGAUUGCGAAGGCAGCAUACCGGCGCCCUACUGACGCUGAGGCACGAAAGCGUGGGUAUCGAACAGG